CAUUAGCAUACCAUUAAUGAAACAAGUUUUCAUACAUUUUGUUGAUAUUACUGUCAUAUGGGAUACUUGUACCUUGAUUUAAUCUGAAAAAUAUGGCACUUAAGUUCCUGUGUGAAGAAAGUUAUUAAUGACUGGAUAGAUUCAAGUUCCCAUGACAACAUAUUGCUGUGCUGGAUCAAGUGGGAUUUUACAAUCGUAAAUUGUUUUAACAAUUGAGUUCAGCAUGAAAUAGGACCAAUGUACCAUCAGGAACUGGCUUGAAUCUGCUUAGGAAUUAAUAGAAUCAUGGUAUCAUUAAGACUGGAAAAGACCUCUAUGGUCAUUGAGUCCAAAUUUUGACCAAACACCAACACCUCAACUAAACCACAUCACUGAGUGCCAAUCCAGUCAAUUCUUAAACACUUCCAGGGAUGGUGACUCUACACUUACCUGAACAGCAUGUUCUGACAUUUGAGAACCCUUGCUGUGAAGAAAUUCCUCCUGGACAUGCUCCAAUAAUAAAGGUACAACCCUUGUGCUUCCUGAGGCUCUGCAACAACAGCUUCACUUACAGGGCACAGACACUGUGAAUCCAUUUGCUUUUCCACCUGGGAACACUCUGAGACUGGGACCCAGCAUCAUCUUGCUUUGGGACAUCCUGUAACAAAAUACAUUUGAGUAUGGGGGUUGUUCCAGUAUAAAAUUCUGGCACCAUUUCACACUAAGUCCUUUUCACCUCUCACUCUAAUGCUAUAUCUCUUUGGCAUUUCAAUUCUGGAUGCUAAACUGCAGAAAAAUGUAAUAAUCUUUGGAAGUGGUGACAUUCUUUUUAGAUCCUUGGAUUUCUUUUGCUAUCUGGAUAUCUGGAUAGUUUAUUAGCUUAGUUCCAUGCAUUCAGUGUUGGUUUUCUCUCUUAAAUACCUUGUCUCCUCAAACAUCUUUGUUCCAUAGUAUAUUAUCUCAGUUUGAUACAAAUUAGAAGGAAAUGUCCUGAAAGGGGUGUCUUCUCUGGGCAUAAAGCAGACAAUAAAGGAUACAGUACCAUAAAGUCACCCCACGACAUAUUUAUCAGCAGCUUUCUCUGAUGGAUGUAGGUAUUGAGGGAAUUAAUGGAGGCAGGAUUAAUGAUGAUGGAACCAGUAAUUGUGGUGAGACUUUUUGUGACAGCAAAUUGAUCGUCCAGAUUUCAUGGUCCAAAUUUACAAUUAGCAAUCAACUUUAUGUGAAAUUCACUUAGGGCACCUUGUUAUUUCUAUGAUGCUUCCCCUGUGUCAUGUUUUCUGUCUCUCAUCUACUUUGAUGUGUCUGUUCUGGGGGUAAAUCUGUCAAGGGCUGGCACAGAGACAACUGUGUUUUAAAUGGGAAAUGAGAGAUCACCACAGUAUGGAGGCUGAGCUCAGUGGAUGGGGCUCAGGAACAUGAACAUCCUAAAACAGUGUUAGAAAAAGGAGUGCAGACCACAGUGCAGAUAAUCUUACUUCAGUGUGUCUCUAUCUGACAUAAAUCAAGUUUCUGUUUUACGUCCAUCACAAGGAACCUUGUCUCAACUAAAGACUGGAAAAAGCUACCUUUGUAAUAUGAAACUGCAAUAUCUGUGUUCUUCUGAAUUAAUUUAUGGUUUUAUUACAUUCACAAAGUAAUUUUUGAAAGCUUAUUUAAACUAUUAUCCGAAUACUUAAGAUUUCUGCAGUGUUAAAAUUAAACCAGUUACAUUUAAAAAAAAAAUACUUUUAUAAAACCAAACCAAACCAAAACCCUUCCCCUGAAAAUUUUGUUUCUUAACCAGGAAUAAGGUAAAAUUCAGGAUAUUAUUCUCCAAAUGACCAUUUAUGUAAGGAAGAUGGUUUCAUCAAAACACUCUUCCUGUGAGUAUUAAACAGCAUUUUACAUAUUAUUCACUCUGACACCUCAGGCCCGUGGGAUUCUUCCUCACCUGAUACAGACCUCGAGGAGACGAGGCCAUCGUGUCAGCUCACUGGUCUGGAAGAGAGCACAGGGUGGGGUACCCUGUUUGCUGCAGCACAUCACUCCAGGAACACCUUUUGUUUAAAGAAAAUGCUGAACAUUGAGCAGUGAAUGACAAAAGAAAAUAUUGUUUUAUGCAAAUGGAUAGCUAAAGCAGCCCAUGAGAUAGAAACAAUAGAGAAGUACUGAAAAUGAAGUCUCACGGAGAUUAUGCUAAUGAAGAAUGUCAUUUUAAAAAGAUUUUUUUACUAAAGUAUUGUAAUUAUUGUAAAAGUGAAGUAAUAAACAGAAUGUAAUGACUGAUCCUAUCUUGUAUAACUUAAUAGUCUUUAUAUAACAAAAAUAUUACAUGAACUUUCAUCCAUAAGAAGACUGAUGUGAUCAUUAUAAAUUAAAUUCAAUAGGAUAGAUAUGAUCACUAUACUAAUGCAAAAGCUCCAGAGAACUGGAAGUUGCUUAUUGUGAAGCAAAAUAUAUCUCUGGAGGUAGAUUCCAGGAACUGCAGAAUAACGGUAUGUGACCCAGUAGUACCUUUAAUGAAGAGUAGAAUUGAUGGAUACGUGGAUAAAUAGUGGGUGCGUGCCAAGGUACCUUUUGGAAAAGAAAUCAGCCCUUACAUGCCUACAGGGAUACUUUGAAGAACCAAAAAAUCUGUGGACUUAAUAAUAAUGUAUUUAUUUGGACUUGUUAAUAUAUUUAUCUCAACUUUCAAAAGAUAUUCAAUAAAAAGCCAAAGAAAGGCAUAAAGUAAUCUUCCCAAAAUAAAGCUGCUGCAGUGUAAAAUGGGA